rfam:Salmo salar isolate Sally breed double haploid chromosome ssa16, whole genome shotgun sequence.
UGCAUUCACUACUGUAAAUCGCUCUGGAUAAAAGCGUCUGCUAAAUGACUAAAA